rnacentral:rRNA from 1 species
GUCAUAUGCUUGUCUCAAAGAUUAAGCCAUGCAUGUCUCAGUACAAGCCAAAUUAAGGUGAAACCGCGAAAGGCUCAUUAAAUCAGUUAUGGUUCCUUAGAUCGUACCCACAAUUACUUGGAUAACUGUGGUAAUUCUAGAGCUAAUACAUGCAAACAGAGCUCCGACCGGAGACGGAAGGAGUGCUUUUAUUAGAUCAAAACCAAUCGGUGGCGGGUUCGCUCGUUAUCGUACAACUUGGUGACUCUGAAUAACUUUACGCUGAUCGCACGGUCAUCGCACCGGCGACGCAUCUUUCAAAUGUCUGCCUUAUCAACUGUCGAUGGUAGGUUCUGCGCCUACCAUGGUUGUAACGGGUAACGGGGAAUCAGGGUUCGAUUCCGGAGAGGGAGCCUGAGAAACGGCUACCACAUCCAAGGAAGGCAGCAGGCGCGCAAAUUACCCACUCCCGGCACGGGGAGGUAGUGACGAAAAAUAACGAUACGGGACUCAUCCGAGGCCCCGUAAUCRGAAUGAGUACACUCUAAACCCUUUAACGAGGAUCAAUUGGAGGGCAAGUCUGGUGCCA